GCUAAAGAUAAAUAUUAGAGAGGUAUUCCAGGCAUGUCAGGGUCGAAUCUUGAUGAGGAGUUGGAAGAACUUAAAAAAAUCAUAGCAGAUACAAAGCGAGAGCUUGAGCAACUGAGAUCUUCUUUAACUGCAUCAACUUCACAGCAAGGAAUUGAUUCACUUUCAAGAAGUUUGCCAGCACAAUCUAAUGAUCAAAUAAUGAGAUCAGUUUAAGUAUGGAAUAAAGAAUAGUAGCUUUUGUUAUGUUGUGUCCAUAAUUAUUUAAGUGAAUUAACUUAUAUAAGUUCCUACUCGCAACAGUAUUGUUGGGCUUCAUUUUACAUGCAUGUAUUGAAAAAAUUACAUU